CCCUAGAAAUUCGACGUCUCUGCGAUCUUCCUCAGACGACUGAAUCGCCGUCGUCAACAGGGGCAAACCGCGCCAACUCACCAUGAAGGAUUGAAUCACGCCGUCUUCUUUCCAAAACGCGCCGACGUCUCCCUAUUAAAACCGUAGUCGACGAUGCUUAGAAUGGCGGUCAGAAGCUACAACAAAAGAUCGACGGAGGAAUCAAACUGAACACCCUAGACUGAGAAAUAUCGCCGAACCAAAUGGAGUACGACCGAUUUCAGAUUCAUAGACCCAAUGGUCGGCUUUCCGACCAUUGGAGAUGGAGAACGCGAACGAUCGCCGACUCAAACAUCGGCUCUCAGGUUACAACAAAACCGACAACAAUUGACUGUCAGAAAAACAAAAUCCUAAAAGAUUGGGGCUAAAUCACAGUCCAGUUUCAAAAAGAUUUGAGAUUUCCCCUGGCAUGAUAUUCCACUGCACUUGGGUACACCUUCAUAGACAUGAGCACACCAGACUCAGUUGAUGGACCAAGCAAUUGCCUGGCAGAGAUUGUUAAUCUAGGUGAUAAAGGGAGCAAUUA